UAAAGGUGCAUNAGUGGUGUUUGGUUUGUUACGUGUGGUUGGCUGCGGCGUUUGCANCAACUUCCAUGCUUUCAUACCUCUUCAGUUAUGCGGCAAGGCUUGUAUCCCCUUGACCAUGUUGCGGGUUUGCUGUGUUGAAUACCUAANCAANGGUAUCGGUNGGCUAGAUCAAAGUUUCAAUUCGUCUUGUGUUGCGUUUGCANCGUGAGGUGAACCAUGAAGCGAUCUCUUUGAUCCACCUUUGUUGAAGCACUGUUUCGACAUUGUGGCACAUCGAGCAUUGCUUGGUCUCUUGCAUACGGAACAUACAGUGGGCAAGGAUCUAACGAUUCUUGUUUGCCCUCGUAUUAGCGUUCUCGCUUCUUUACAACGACUAGUGCGCGUGUUGGCUUGUCCACUCGUGGUGCUACGUGAAGAGGAAUGCUACCUGGUGAUCCGC
rnacentral:misc_RNA from 1 species